AAAUGACAGAAAAAGCAUCCUCUAGAGUGUACUGUGGCGCCAAACCUCUAAUCCGAACGUAAACCUUGAUACUUGGGGUCUCAUCUGGCCGUGAGAUUCCCAAACUCUACUUCUGGCGUUACGUGUGAAAGGGAUAAAUACUUUAUAUUUUACAUGGAAUUAAAAAUACGUAGAAGUCUAUUCUUUAACAAGGCAAAGAUGUCAGCUAAAUUCUAUUUGCAUGAGUGAGAAAUGGCAUUGAAAAGAAUGUCUGAUGUGAAUUAUGUCUAUUUGGCUGAGCUUCUAAUAUUCUCUCUCAUUUUGCGAUCGAUGGUUGUCACCAAGGUCUCUGUGACUGAAGAUAUACCCUUUCUGCUUACUCUCUUGAACCCACCUCGCUACUAUUGCCCUCACAAAGUCAUUUCUAGAGCAAAACAUUUUGGGAACGGAGGGACACAGAACCAUUCUUAAGAUUCGAAGCAUUCCAAAGAUUCUACAGGAAGUGAAAGUUUACGCAGGUCGCAGCGGAGCUCCAGGACUCUGAACACAUAAACCUGGAAUACUCCACAGAUAACUUCCUGCAAUCAAGAGGACCAGCCUGACUGCGGAGGUAGAACUAAGUUCACAGAGGAAUGGUAGAAUCUAGAAAGGGAGUCUUGAAGAGAGAAGAUUGGAACUGUGUCCACGGAGGCCAGAAGAGGGCACUGAAUCCGCAGAAAUGGAUUUAUAAGCUGCAGAACAUGGGUCCUGGUACAGAAUUUGGGUACUUUACAAAAACAAUAUGUACUCUAAACCACGGAACCAGCGUUCUAGCCCCCAACUCUUCAGACUCCCACCCAGUUCUCUCUCCUUCACAUUAAAAAAACUAUAUUUAAUAUUUACUG
rnacentral:lncRNA from 1 species